UCUGCGUUUCAGGCACUGGAUGAGCUGCUCUGCAAUGCAACGGUUAUUUGGCAUGCUGACACUUUCCUGUUUGAAAGCUCCUUUUCAGGCAGUGGUACCUUCACCAAUGACUCGUGGUUUUUGCUGACUUCAUCACAGAGCUUGAUUAAUUGAACCAGAAUCCUGUCCAACAUCGCCAUCUUGUGACUGAGCUUUAGCUUUGACCACAGGCAUACAUGUCCACUAUCCCUUGAAGACUCGUUGACGUAAAAGCCGUAUGCCUGCGGCUUGAUAGGGGGCGCCGUCCAGUUGGGUAUGGCUGCCCUGCCUGCAGCUGUCCA